UCAGUUUAAUUCAAUAUACAUGUAUGUGAAUUUUGUGCUCAUAAUUAAACAUAUUAAACAUAAUAAAUAACUAAUCUCGAAAAUUCAAACAUCCGCAAUACAAUUACAAAGUUUAAAACACGCUGAUAAAAAACUUCUUAAAUGAAUCCUGUAUCCGUAAAGGGUCAAUGUUUUAUUCUAGAAGCCCACAUCCGCUUAAUCGUCUAUCCAAAAUUUUUGGAACGGGUUAAGCUUUAAGCAGUUAAACUUGCUCAUAAACUAAAAAUUUAUCUCUCUCAUAUAAACGCUUUGGAUUUUGGUAUUAUUGUGAGAUGCCAGAGUCACUUAAGCUUGUUUAAUCAAAUUAUUGCUACGCUUUGUCGUAAGGGAAUAUGUUCGAUGGAUGAUUGCUACUCCCAACAUUUAUCCAAUAUGUUUUAUCUCUUCUGAUUUACUCAUGCGAUAUUGCAAGAUAAUCGGCCUAUAUUCUGUAAGCAUAUUACAUGCUUCGUUAUAGCCGAUUCUUACCGGUGAUGUUUCAGAUCUUCAUGGGCUUCUAGGCCGUAGUUGUAGCGAUACAUUGUCAACUUGUUCCGUCGGGACAUAAUGGAAAUCAAUGAUGAGGCUGGCUCAAAACUAUGUUUUUUUAAAUAGAAAAGUGUAUAAUUUUCC